rnacentral:rRNA from 1 species
GGACGAAAGUCUGAUCCAGCCAUGCCGCGUGCAGGAUGACAGCCCUACGGGUUGUAAACUGCUUUUAUACAGGAAGAAACACUCCGACGUGUCGGAGCUUGACGGUACUGUAAGAAUAAGGAUCGGCUAACUCCGUGCCAGCAGCCGCGGUAAUACGGAGGAUCCAAGCGUUAUCCGGAAUCAUUGGGUUUAAAGGGUCCGCAGGCUGUUUUUUAAGUCAGAGGUGAAAUCCUGCAGCUCAACUGUAGAACUGCCUUUGAUACUGGAAAACUUGAGUUAUUGUGAAGUGGUUAGAAUGUGUGGUGUAGCGGUGAAAUGCAUAGAUAUCACACAGAAUACCGAUUGCGAAGGCAGAUCACUAACAAUAUACUGACGCUCAUGGACGAAAGCGUGGGGAGUGAACAGGAUUAGAUACCCUGGUAGUCCACGCCGUAAACGAUGGAUACUAGCUGUUCGUCUAACAUUGGUUAGAUGAGUGGCUAAGCGAAAGUGAUAAGUAUCCCACCUGGGGAGUACGGUCGCAAGACUGAAACUCAAAGGAAUUGACGGGGGCCCGCACAAGCGGUGGAGCAUGUGGUUUAAUUCGAUGAUACGCGAGGAACCUUACCAGGGCUUAAAUGUAGUGGGACAGGUCUAGAGAUAGACCCUUCUUCGGACUCAUUACAAGGUGCUGCAUGGUUGUCGUCAGCUCGUGCCGUGAGGUGUCAGGUUAAGUCCUAUAACGAGCGCAACCCCUAUCGUUAGUUGCCAGCGAGUAAUGUCGGGAACUCUAACGAAACUGCCAGUGCAAACUGUGAGGAAGGUGGGGAUGACGUCAAAUCAUCACGGCCCUUACGUCCUGGGCUAC